AUACUUGGAGGCCAUGUCACCUGAGAGUCAAUGGGCAACGAUCAAAUUUCACCUUGAGCAGAUUCUUUUGUUUGCUUUUUAGUCACAAAUAGCUUGGCCCUAAGUGGUGGCUCCCAUUCUUGUAAGAUGCGUUUAUUCAUCGUGUAAUCACCAGUUCCCUGUAGUGGGGGCGUGGAUGGAGUGUCAGAGGCUCCUGCUGGUCUUUAGGGUGUCUGGCCUCCAGGAAUCCUAGAGGUAGUAUUUGGAGAGAUUUUUAAAAGCUUUGUUUCUGUGACCAGCAAAACCUGGAUUUGACACUGAGGUCAGCCCGUUUCAGCCAGUGACGUAACCUGUCUUUUUGCCCCAGUAAAUUGGGAACUACAGCACUCGAUGUUAGAGUUGUCGUGAAGAUUAAAGAAGGUGACGACUGGACAACUCCCAGCCCAAUACCUGAAACUGUACCAGCACCCAGUGAGCACUGCUAUUCCUGUGACUGCUGCACAUUUGCCUUAUCUCAGCAGUAUGCCUGUGUCACUUUUUUGGCACUCUUUUCUCAUGGGUACAUUCAGAGAAGAGGAAUGUUUGUUCACUGGUGAAGAGAACAUCCCGUGUACUAUCGUGUAGAAGUUGUAGUAGACGCUGUGGUCUUUCCAACAACAAACAAAGAGGGAGGUAUCCAGAGAGGCUAAUGGAAGAGACAGGCUUUGGGAUUUAUUUGCAGAGAGGUUAGGCAUUCAGACAUGUGGAAAGAGAGAUGAAAGGAAAGUGCACCUGAGGCUGAACAAGUGACUAAAGGAGAAGCCACUGUGCCUGUCGAAAGAACAAUGAAUAAUCCAGAAUUGAUAGAUAAGUAAGACUGGGGAAGGAAGAGAAAGGAAGACACAGCCUCUGAGAGCCGGAUGAAGACACAAAUGGGAUGGAGGCUGCGGCUGUUAAACCAUCAGGACUCAGCGGCUGUUAAACCAUCAGGACUCAGCAAUUAUUUCAUGUGGAGACAAGUGAUGGCAAAGCCAAAAGGCCACGGGUGUUGAGCUGUUGACGAGAAACUGAAAGUGCCAUUGUGUUUAUACAGGAAGCUGCCAUUAGUAGGGAUUUGAAAAAGCAAGAGGAGAGGAUGAGUUUAGUGGGGAGUUCUUACACUUCAGGUGCUAGUGGAUACCACCAAGUCAAUAUUGAGUAGCAGGAAACCAGGGCCUGAUGUUCCGUCAGGCCAUCAGGGCGGAGACAUUGUGGAGAGGAAGUUUUGAGGCUGUGAGAUUAGGAGAGAAGCAUGGAGUGUAGAGCAGGAACUAGGCCUCUCUUUACCCAAAAUCCAAAACCCCACUUAUGCCAGACACACUCAAUACUUUCUGCUGGGAUCCUCAAUUCUCAUAAAGUUUUCAUAAUAAGGCCGGGCGGGGUGGCUUAUGCCUGUAUUCCCAGCACUUUGGGAGGCCGAGGCGGGCGGAUCACCUGAGGUCAGGAGUUCAAGACGAGUCUGGCCAACAUGGUAAAAACCUGUCUCUACUGAAAAUACAAAAAUCAGCCGGGCUUGGUGGUAGGCGCCUACAGCUAGUCGGGACGCUGAGGCAUGGGAAUCGCUUGAACCCAGGAGGCAGAGGUUGCAGUGAGCCAAGAUCAUGCCACUGCACACCAGCCUGGGGGAUACAGCAAGACUCUGUCACAAUAAAAAAAACAAAAAGUUUUCAUAAA
ensembl:lncRNA LINC02669 long intergenic non-protein coding RNA 2669